rnacentral:rRNA from 1 species
AUUGAACGCUGGCGGCAUGCCUUACACAUGCAGGUCGAACGGCAGCACGGGAGCAAUCCUGGUGGCGAGUGGCGAACGGGUGAGUAAUAUAUCGGAACGUGCCCAGUAGUGGGGGAUAGCCCGGCGAAAGCCGGAUUAAUACCGCAUGAGACCUGAGGGUGAAAGCGGGGGAUCGCAAGACCUCGCGCUAUUGGAGCGGCCGAUAUCAGAUUAGCUAGUUGGUGGGGUAAAGGCCUACCAAGGCAACGAUCUGUAGUUGGUCUGAGAGGACGACCAGGCACACUGGGGCUGAGAAACGGCCCAGACUCCUAGGGGAGGCAGCAGUGGGGAAUUUUGGACAAUGGGCGCAAGCCUGAUCCAGCAGUGCCGCGUGCAGGAAGAGGGCCUUCGGGUUGUAAACUGCUUUUGUCAGGGAAGAAAUCCUCUGGGUUAAUACCUCGGGGGGAUGACGGUACCUGAAGAAUAAGCACCGGCUAACUACGUGCCAGCCGCCGCCGUAAAAC